UUUUUUUAACGCUGAUUUAUUAUGAUCUUACAAUUAUGAUAUAGGAAAUAUUACAUAGACGAUUCGACAACCGACAAUACUACCUGUCUUAUGAAGACCUACGCCUAACUGCAUCACCUGAGCCGUCCUAUGAAGAUCCACGCCUGACCAGAUGUACUUGCACCAUGUUGAAGAUUCCCUUGCAAGCUUUUUCCUCUGUAGUCUGCAUAAUUGUUUAAUAAACCGCUCUCUCCGGGACUUGAAACCUGGAUUUCCUGUAAUCUGCAAUAAAUUUGCGUAGUCUGGGAUUUGAACCCCAGACUUGGGUGUAGAAGCCUUUAAACCUUAACCAAUAGGCUAGGGUGCUUCCACA
rnacentral:lncRNA from 1 species